rnacentral:rRNA from 1 species
AGAGUUUGAUCAUGGCUCAGGACGAACGCUGGCGGCGUGCCUAACACAUGCAAGUCGAACGGUUCUGUCGUCGGUCAUCAGACGUCAGACGUCAGAUUAGAAGGAAUUCGCGUAGCGAAUUCCUAUUAAAACCUGACGACUGGUGCCUGACGACCGACGGCCGAAUAGUGGCGGACGGGUGAGUAACGCGUGGAUAACCUACCUAUAUGUCUGGGAUAACACCGGGAAACUGGUGCUAAUACCGGAUAGAGUUGCAGGUAUGCAUGUACUUGCAAGGAAAGGAGCAAUCCGCAUAUAGAUGGGUCCGCGUCCCAUUAGCUAGUUGGUGGUGUAAGGGACCACCAAGGCGACGAUGGGUAGCCGGCCUGAGAGGGUGACCGGCCACACUGGAACUGAGACACGGUCCAGACUCCUACGGGAGGCAGCAGUGGGGAAUAUUCCGCAAUGGGCGAAAGCCUGACGGAGCAACGCCGCGUGAACGAGGAAGGCCUUCGGGUUGUAAAGUUCUGUCAUCAGGGAAGAAGUAAGUGACGGUACCUGGAGAGGAAGCCCCGGCUAACUACGUGCCAGCAGCCGCGGUAAGACGUAGGGGGCGAGCGUUGUCCGGAAUUACUGGGCGUAAAGGGCGCGUAGGCGGUGAGGUAAGUCUCGAGGUGAAAACUAUCGGCUCAACCGGUAGAUGGCCUGAGAAACUGCCUUACUUGAGUGCAGGAGAGGGGAGUGGAAUUCCCAGUGUAGCGGUGAAAUGCGUAGAUAUUGGGAGGAACACCGGUGGCGAAGGCGGCUCUCUGGCCUGUAACUGACGCUGAGGCGCGAAAGCGUGGGGAGCGAACGGGAUUAGAUACCCCGGUAGUCCACGCCGUAAACGAUGGGUGCUAGGUGUAGAGGUAUCGACCCCUUCUGUGCCGUAGUAAACACAAUAAGCACCCCGCCUGGGGAGUACGGCCGCAAGGUUGAAACUCAAAUGAAUUGACGG